rnacentral:pre_miRNA from 1 species
AAUAGAUGACACCGUUGAUUUUUUCUUACAUGUUUAACUAUUCGUCUUAUUUAAAAAAUUUACAUAAUUAUAAUUUAUUUUGUUAUGAGUUGAUUUAUCACUCAUAGUACUUUAAGUAUGAUUUAUAUCUUAUACAUUUGUAUAAAUUUUUUGAAUAAGACGAAUGGUUAAACAUGUAAGAAAAAGUCAACAGCAUCAUCUAUU